rnacentral:rRNA from 1 species
AUGCAAAUUUGGAAUAAUAAUAAAAUAGUUAUUUUUGUUCUUGAAAAUCGUAUCCGUGUUCAGAUCAUGGUGAUGGUGUCAUGCUCAUGCCACAGUAAUAGUUUUCAAUCGCCUUCACUCUCUGGCCUUUUCUUCAGUGGCACAUGUUUCAUUCUACUCACUCCGUUCCUAAAUAUUUAUCUUUUAGAGAUUUCAAAUGGACUAUCACAUACAGAUGUAUAUAGACAUAUUUUAGAGUGUAGAUUCACUCAUUUUGCUCCAUAUUUAGCACUUGUUAAAAUCUCUAGAAAGACAAAUAUUUUGGAACUGAGGGAGUAG